UAGGAGCACAGACCAGAAGAUGAAAUGGAAGAAGUUUCUCUGGGGAAGCUUUUCUCACAUAGAUUGUAUAAGUAUAUGAGAACUAGCACAUAGACUCAAAAACUGUUGCCCCAUUACUUUUUAUUUGCACCAUUAGUUCUCAUUCCGUUCUAUUGGUUGAAGCAUUCCACAAUGCCAAACCCAAGCUUAAAGAGCAGAGAAAUAUACACCACAGUUUUAAUUUAUCCACUACCACAGAAUUGAUAUGAAGACCAGACUUGCACAUUUGUAAUGGGAUCCAACAUGAGGAUUUCUCCAGGAUUCAAUACCCACAAGGUGCCUUUUAGCACUUAUAUUUGAGAAGGAGGAGAAGACCCUAUGGAAUAGAAACUAUAUGGUAAAAACAGGUUCCAGGUAGAGAUCUCUCUUUUAU